AUCCUUCAUUUUAUAAGCAUGAUGAUUGGAUGUUCACACUAUUGAGUGAGAUGUGCCUACCUUUAAACCUUGUUACAACAUCAGCACAUUACCCAUCUGAUG
rfam:Ictidomys tridecemlineatus contig048392, whole genome shotgun sequence.